rnacentral:lncRNA from 1 species
GUUUAAAAUUGGAAACUCUGUUAGGUUUUUCCAAUAGGAAAAAAUUUUCGUUUUCUGAAUUUGUUAGUUCUUUUUUUUUUUUUUAAUUAAUAUUUGGCUCUUUCCAUCAGGUGAUGAUUCGUUAUUCUUCCGGCACCUCCCAGUAACGAUUUUACUGUAGACUGUUUUGAUAAGAAAGCCAAUUCGGAGAACAAACGCAAUAAUUUCGACAACUAUCAUGAAAGUUCGGGAUUUCUAUCGAUUAUUGCUUAAAAUACGUGUAUUUUAUUUAACUUUUUUUUUAUACCUCGCAAAUGUUAGAUGUAAGCGUCGAUGCGGUUUCACUGUCUCUACGCUGUUCUCCGGUGGGAUCGUUAGCUGUCCCAUAAAAUUCUACAUUCAUUAUUGUUUUCAAAUAUUUUGCAGUAGUUUUUUCAUUUAAAGGAUCUCUUGGAACAUGUUCUUUCUCUUCGUUCUUAGUUUAUUAUCUGUU